rnacentral:rRNA from 1 species
UAGCCGUAAACGAUACUCGCUAGGUGUCGGCCACGGUGCGACCGUUGUCGGUGCCGUAGGGAAGCCGUGAAGCGAGCCACCUGGGAAGUACGGCCGCAAGGCUGAAACUUAAAGGAAUUGGCGGGGGAGCACAACAACGGGUGGAGCUUGCGGUUUAAUUGGAUUCAACGCCGGAAAUCUUACCGGGACCGACAGCAACAUGAAGGCCAAGCUGAAGACCUUGCCGGAUUAGCUGAGAGGUGGUGCAUGGCGUAGUCGUGU